rnacentral:rRNA from 1 species
CAGUCGCCGCGGUAAUACCGAGGGUGCGAGCGUUAACCGGAUUUACUGGGCGUAAAGCGUGCGUAGGCGGCUUCUUAAGUCGGAUGUGAAAUCCCUGAGCUUAACUUAGGAAUUGCAUUCGAUACUGGGAAGCUAGAGUAUGGGAGAGGAUGGUAGAAUUCCAGGUGUAGCGGUGAAAUGCGUAGAGAUCUGGAGGAAUACCGAUGGCGAAGGCAGCCAUCUGGCCUAAUACUGACGCUGAGGUACGAAAGCAUGGGGAGCAAACAGGAUUAGAUACCCCUGUAGUCCCUGUCUCUUAUAA